UGCGCAGCGCGUGCUUUAUGACGAUCUCGCGGAAACGGAUGCCCUUUAGGCGCGCGGUGCGGAUGUAUUGGGCCGUCAUCACCUCGGCCAUGGAGGCGCGGGUCAUACGGGCGAUAUAUCCCAUGCCGUAUAGGGCCAUCGUGGCCACGGGCAGGGUGAAGUUCUGAAACGUCACGC
rnacentral:ncRNA from 1 species